UAAAGGCUUUGCUCAGGUUGCAAUCGAUGCAAAAGUGGUACUCUCUAAGUGCGAGGGAUACAACAGUGAACGUGUUAAACAUGUGUUAGGUGUCCCUGAAUGUAGAUGGCUUUCCUCUGGUAGGAGGAGAGCGACAGCAGUGAUCAGCUAGUUCAAUCCCAUUAUUCCUAUGUUUACACAAAACAUCCGAGAAGGAUUUAGAUCACUCGGAGGAACAAGAUUGUUUAAAUGGCUUUAUGAAAAAUUCCGCUAUCCGUUUGCUCCAAUGUAUGGAGGUUUUCCUGUGAAGUUGCGGACCUUCUUGGGUGAUCCUAUUCCGUAUGACCCAGAGGUAACAGCAGAAGAAUUAGCUGAAAAGACUAAGAACGCUGUUCAAGCUUUGAUCGACAAGCACCAAAGGAUACCGGGGAACAUUAGGAGUGCUUUGCUGGACCGCUUUCAUAAAGAGCAGAAGGCUAAUUGACAGAUAAUUUCGUGUGUCUCUAAUGCCAAGUUUGCAUCUGUGGUACUGCCUUUUAAACUUUUGUAGGUUGUAUAAUAGUCUUUUUAAAACCUGCUAAUGAGCAUCUUUCUUUAGAAUUUAAACUUUCUAUGGUUAAUCUUACCCUUUCAAUCAGUUUUGUCAAAUGUAGUAAGUAACUCACCAUUUGCUUGACUCAGAAGAUGAUCAUGUUGCAUUUGCAAUCCUUAGUAGUAUAUGAUAGGCACAAGUCUUCCUGGAUACCAGCAGUCUAGGUUAGGCAGACUUCACUAAAUUAUGCUUCUGUGUUUGUGUCUGUUGUGCCAAUGGGAUGGUGAGAGGUACCUGAGCUGGGGUGUAGCACUUGCUUAGUUUAGGUGAGCGGUGCCUUUGUAUCCAUCCUUCAU
rnacentral:lncRNA from 1 species